AUAACAGCGCAAUAGUUUUGGAGAGGCCUUAUUGAUAGAACUGAUUGCGACCUCGAUGUUGAAUUAAGAUUUCUUUUUGUUGCAGAAGGCAAUAGAGAAGGUUUGUUCAACCUUUAAAUUUUUACAUGAUUUGAGUUCAAAUCGGUUUAAGCCAGAUUGGUUUCUAUCUUUUAUUUAUUAUAAUUUAUGUAAGUACGAAAGGGACACGUAAAGUUU
rnacentral:rRNA from 1 species